rnacentral:rRNA from 1 species
UACGUAGGUGGCAAGCGUUGUCCGGAAUUAUUGGGCGUAAAGCGCGCGCAGGCGGUCUUUUAAGUCUGAUGUGAAAGCCCACGGCUCAACCGUGGAGGGUCAUUGGAAACUGGGGGACUUGAGUGCAGAAGAGGAAAGUGGAAUUCCAAGUGUAGCGGUGAAAUGCGUAGAGAUUUGGAGGAACACCAGUGGCGAAGGCGACUUUCUGGUCUGUAACUGACGCUGAGGCGCGAAAGCGUAGGGAGCAAACGAGGAA